rnacentral:rRNA from 1 species
AUUGAACGCUGGCGGCAGGCUUAACACAUGCAAGUCGAGCGGGGACUUCGGUCCUAGCGGCGAACGGGUGAGGAAUGCUUGGGAAUCUGCCCAGUAGCGGGGGAUAACGUUUCGAAAGGAACGCUAAUACCGCAUACGCCCUACGGAGGAAAGGGGGGGAUCUUCGGACCUCUCACUAUUGGAUGAGCCCAAGUCGGAUUAGCUAGUUGGUGGGGUAAAGGCCUACCAAGGCGACGAUCCGUAGCUGGUCUGAGAGGAUGUUCAGCCACACUGGAUGCGAGACACGGUGCAGACUCCUACGGGAUGCAGAGGUGGGGAAUAUUGGACCAUGGGCGAAAGGCUGAUCCAGCCAUACCGCGUGUGUGAUGAAGGCCUUCGGGUUGUAAAGCACUUUAAGCGAGGAGGAAUGGCUGAGGGUUAAUAACCUUCAGCAGUGACGUUACUCGCAGAAUAAGCACCGGCUAACUCUGUGCCAGCCGCCGCGGUAAGAC